AUGAACAAGUGUCUUCUUCUAGGCUUUUCCGUUCUGGUCUUAUCAACAGUUGCACAAGGUCUGGUUUGCAAAGUAUGCAAAUUCAAAUUUGGAGGUGUCUGCUACAAUUCUGAUGACCCUUGUAGAGCUGAACAUGGCCAGUUCUGUGAGACAACCAAAGUUUACUCAGGCCACAUACGUCUCUUCACAAAAUAUGGCUGCACCAAAAGCGCAGAGCUUUGCAACACGACUGAGCGGAGGGACAACGUUUUUGACAUGUCCUACAACCGCACCUGCUGUGACAGUGACUUAUGCAACGGGGGAGUGGUCAGCAAUCCUAGCUUCCCACUCUUAGCUGGCCUCGGCAUGGCAUUGGGCUGGUGGGUAGCCCAUUAA
rnacentral:lncRNA from 1 species